CAGCAGCCACGGUAAUACGAAGGGUGCAAGCGUUACUCGGAAUUACUGGGCGUAAAGCGUGCGCAGGCGGUUAUAUAAGACAGAUGUGAAAUCCCCGGGCUCAACCUGGGAACUGCAUUUGUGACUGUAUAGCUAGAGUACGGCAGAGGGGGAUGGAAUUCCGCGUGUAGCAGGGAAAUGCGUAGAUAUGCGGAGGAACACCGAUGGCGAAGGCAAUCCCCUGGGCCUGUACUGACGCUCAUGCACGAAAGCGUGGGGAGCAAACAGGAUUAGAUACCCCGUAGUCCCUGUCUCUUAUACC
rnacentral:rRNA from 1 species